rnacentral:ncRNA from 1 species
AGAGUGUGUUAAAACUCACCUGCCGAAUACUAGGGCCCCGAAAAUGAAUGGCGCAUAUAGUACUACCGAUCUCAGACAUCAGUUCUAUUGAACUGAGAGUAGGGGGAUGUGGACAUUUUUGUGAAGGUGCAAUGUGAGUUGGACUGGAAGAAUGUCUAUUACAGAUCCUAAUUGAAGUAGCGAUUAUCCAGGCUUGUAUCCUGGGGGCUGAUGAGGAGUAGGGUUUCUGGACAACUUAAACAGAUCCAGAGUUAGUCGAUCCUAAUCUCAAUAAUGGGAGAAAGGGAGUACAGUUGAUAUUCUGUAACUGACAACAGUUCGCGGCAACGCAUACUAUUUUUCUCCGCCAAUCUUAUACCGUUGGUAGGGAUCUCUUUCCUACAUGACAGUACUAAUACCCAGGGAAACUGGUCAUCAGGCGAACUGCGGCGUUCUGCUGGCAAAACAUAGCUUCGGUUAUGUCAAUGGCUAUUGGAUUGGUCCAUGAAGCGAAAAAUAGUUUACUGUGUCACUCGUACCGAUAACCGCAUCAGGUCUUCUAGGUAAGUAGCCUAUGGCCAUUGAGGCAUGAUAGUUCAGGGAAUUCGGCCAAUUAGAGCUGUAACUUCGGGAUAAAGCUUGGCUAUGAUGAAAAUCAGAACCGAUUGUUACGCGGAGAGCCCAACUGUUUAAUAAAAACGUAGUGUCGCGCUGUGGUAGUAUAGCCAGUGAACGCGACAUGAAUCC